CCUACGGGAGGCUGCAGUGGGGAAUAUUGGACAAUGGGGGCAACCCUGAUCCAGCCAUGCCGCGUGUGUGAAGAAGGCCCUCGGGUUGUAAAGCACUUUCAGUGAGGAAGAACGCCUGGUGGUUAAUACCCAUCAGGAAAGACAUCACUCACAGAAGAAGCACCGGCUAACUCCGUGCCAGCAGCCGCGGUAAUACGGAGGGUGCGAGCGUUAAUCGGUAUUACUGGGCGUAAAGCGCGCGUAGGUGGCUUGAUAAGCCGGUUGUGAAAGCCCCGGGCUCAACCUGGGAACGGCAUCCGGAACUGUCAAGCUAGAGUGCAGGAGAGGAAGGUAGAAUUCCCGGUGUAGCGGUGAAAUGCGUAGAGAUCGGGAGGAAUACCAGUGGCGAAGGCGGCCUUCUGGACUGACACUGACACUGAGGUGCGAAAGCGUGGGUAGCAAACAGGAUUAGAUACCCCAGUAGUC
rnacentral:rRNA from 1 species